GCCCAGAUGGCGGAAUUGGUAGACGCGCUAGCUUCAGGAGCUAGUGGCCGCAAGGCUGUGCAGGUUCGAUUCCUGUUCUGGGCA
rnacentral:tRNA from 1 species